rnacentral:rRNA from 1 species
GACGAACGCUGGCGGCGUGCCUAAUACAUGCAAGUCGAACGCUUCUUUUUCCACCGGAGCUUGCUCCACCGGAAAAAGAGGAGUGGCGAACGGGUGAGUAACACGUGGGUAACCUGCCCAUCAGAAGGGGAUAACACUUGGAAACAGGUGCUAAUACCGUAUAACAAUCGAAACCGCAUGGUUUUGGUUUGAAAGGCGCUUUCGGGUGUCGCUGAUGGAUGGAACCGCGGUGCAUUAGCUAGUUGGUGAGGUAACGACUCACCAAGGCCACGAUGCAUAGCCGACCUGAGAGGGUGAUCGGCCACAUUGGGACUGAGACACGGCCCAAACUCCUACGGGAGGCAGCAGUAGGGAAUCUUCGGCAAUGGACGAAAGUCUGACCGAGCAACGCCGCGUGAGUGAAGAAGGUUUUCGGAUCGUAAAACUCUGUUGUUAGAGAAGAACAAGGAUGAGAGUAACUGUUCGUCCCUUGACGGUAUCUAACCAGAAAGCCACGGCUAACUACGUGCCAGCAGCCGCCGUAA